rnacentral:rRNA from 1 species
AUGAGCCGGUUCGAGAACACGGGCGCCAUCAUCGACUCAGACGUCGUCAUAUAUGCUGGUGAGGUUUUUGCUCGAUUCCUCUCCCAUAACGGGUUUCAUUCAGCUGAAAAUCCAGGGGACAAUGGAUUUUGCAGCCAAGGAAAUUUAUGUAGUGGAUUUUCCAUGAAAAUCCAGUGGGCAGUGGCUGGUGAAAAUGAAGUGGACAGUGUAGGCAUGUUAUACACAACAUGGGAAUUUGUUGAUUUUUUUGUCCACGACAAUUUUAAUGCAAAAAUAGAUCCAUAUCAUGGGCAUUUUGCCAUGUGGCAUGGUUGCAUCACAUAA